UAGAGACAGGAAGUUCCGUGUUAGAGGUGAUUUGUGAGGAAGCAGAGAGGAGACAUUGCUGGAACUGGAAGGAGAGGAGAUAGACAAACUAACAGAUGAUCCAUUAACACCCAGCAUCAGUCUUCACAGGACAUCACCCAUCACAGCGCCUCCACCUCACUGCCUGACAACAGAGGUAACCAGUGCCAAGAAGAUUCUAGAAGUCACCAACAAGAUCAUUGAGUUGCUGACAGGAGAGGUUCCUAUAAGGUGUCAGGAUGUCACUGUCU